CUUGCUCUUUCAGAAUUGAGUGGCAAACGGGUGAGUAACACGUAAACAACCUGCCUUCAGGAUGGGGACAACAGACGGAAACGACUGCUAAUACCGAAUAAGUUCCAAGGGCCGCAUGGCCCAUGGAAGAAAAGGUGGCCUCUACCUGUAAGCUAUCGCCUGAAGAGGGGUUUGCGUCUGAUUAGCUAGUUGGUGAGGUAACGGCCCACCAAGGCGACGAUCAGUAGCCGGACUGAGAGGUUGACCGGCCACAUUGGGACUGAGAUACGGCCCAGACUCC
rnacentral:rRNA from 1 species